rnacentral:rRNA from 1 species
ACGUUGGCGGCAUGGAUUAGGCAUGCAAGUCGAGGGAAUCCCAGCAAUGGGGGAACCGGCGUAAGGGGCAGUAAGGCGUGGGUACCUACCCCGGGGUUCGGGAUAGCCAUCAGAGAUGGUGGGUAAUACCGGAUGACCUCGUGAGAGCAAAGAUUUAUCGCCCUGGGAGGGGCCCACGUGAUAUUAGCUAGUUGGUGAGGUAACGGCUCACCAAGGCCGAGAUGUCUAGCGGGUAUGAGAGUACGACCCGCGCCACUCGCACUGAGACACUGGCGAGACACCUACGGGUGGCUGCAGUCGAGGAUCUUCGUCAAUGGGCGCAAGCCUGAACGAGCGAUGCCGCGUGCGCGAUGAAGGCCUUCGGGUUGUAAAGCGCUGUCGAGGGGGAGAAAAGCCCCGCAAGGGGUUUGAUCUAUCCCUGGAGGAAGCUCGGGCUAAGUUCGUGCCAGCAGCCGCGGUAAGACGAACCGAGCGAACGUUGUUCGGAAUCACUGGGCUUAAAGGGCGCGUAGGCGGGCUGUCAAGUCUGGGGUGAAAUCCCGCGGCUCAACCGUGGAACUGCCUCAGAUACUGACGGCCUCGAGGGAGGUAGGGGCGAGCGGAACUCUCAGUGGAGCGGUGAAAUGCGUUGAUAUUGGGAGGAACUCCGGUGGCGAAAGCGGCUCGCUGGACCUUUUCUGACGCUGAGGCGCGAAAGCUAGGGGAGCAAACGGGAUUAGAUACCCCGGUAGUCCUAGCCCUAAACGAUGGGUACUGGGUAGUAGACUAGACAUGGGUUUACUGCCGCAGCAAAAGUGCUAAGUACCCCGCCUGGGGAGUAUGGUCGCAAGGCUGAAACUCAAAG